GGCUCGAUGGCGGUGGUCCGCACCUGCAUCAAGUUUUCAAGAUGCUUUUGCAUUUCAAGCAGGUCUCCCGUUCGACUCGGGGUCGAGCCU